CAGGCUUGUUGUUGUUGUUGUUGUUGUUCGUUUGUUUUUAACCACAUCUUCUUGUUGAUCAAUUAGGUAUGUGUAGUACCAACUUGACACUGCAAUAUUCUUGAAAAUCCUGUGGGCCCACAGGAUGGAAGCAUCAGAGCAUGGGACUGGUAUCUCAGUGGAACAUGAGACACAUGACCUGUAACAAGAAGGCUUUGUCCUCUGUGCAACAGCAGCCAGAUCAGUGAGUAACUGAAGAAGGCAACCUGCUGAUUGUAACACAGCAUGGGAAACAACAUGUUGAGAUUGCACCUGCGUCUUGUGAAAGUCACAUUGCACCUCUCAGGAGUAAUGCUGAAUCCUUAAGGUGGCACUGUGUGUACCAGCACUGAUGUUCUGCAAGGACUAGAAGAAACUUCUGAGGGAAGCACACUGGUCAAGGCUGC
rnacentral:lncRNA from 1 species